GACGGAGGGGGCUAGCGUUGUUCGGAAUCACUGGGCGUAAAGCGUACGCAGGCGGCUUUUUAAGUCAGAAGUGAAAGCCCGGGGCUUAACCUCGGAAGUGCUUUUGAUACUGGAAAGCUAGAGAUCUAGAGGGGUUAAUGGAAUUCCCAGUGUAGAGGUGAAAUUCGUAGAUAUUGGGAGGAACACCAGCGGCGAAAGCGAUUAACUGGCUAGAUACUGACGCUCAUGUACGAAAGCGUGGGGAGCAAACAGG
rnacentral:rRNA from 1 species